rnacentral:rRNA from 1 species
CAUCGUUUAAAGAAAGCGUAAUAGCUCACUGGUCUAAUGACGUUGCGCCGAAAAUGUAACGGGGCUAAGCAUAGUACCGAAGCUUUGAAUUCCGCAUAUGCGGUCUGGUAGGGGAGCGUUCUUCACGGGCUGAAGGUGUGUCGUAAGGCAUGCUGGACUGUGGAGAAGUGAUUAUGCUGACAUGAGUAACGAUAAAACGGGUGAAAAACCCGUUCGCCGUAAACCCAAGGUUUUCCGGGUAAAGGUAAUCUUCCCGGAGUUAGUCGGCCCCUAAGGCGAGGCUGAAAGGCGUAGCUGAUGGGAAACGUGUUAAUAUUCACGUACUUGUGUGUUCGCGCGAUGAAGGGACGCAGGAAGAUAGGCAAGCCGGGCGCUGGUUGUCCCGGUGCAAGUGUGUAGGGAUGAAGAGUUGGCAAAUCCGCUCUUCUCUAUCCUGAGACACGAGUCCGUGACCGAAAGGUCUGAAGUUGUUGAGUCUAUGCUGCCUAGAAAAGCUUCUAAGUAUAGGACACGCAAACCGUACCGGAAACCAACUCAGGUGGGUGGGAUGAAUAAUCCAAGGCGCUCGAGAGAACUCUGGCCAAGGAACUCGGCAAAAUAACCCCGUACCUUCGGAAGAAGGGGUGCUUUUUAGGGUGAAGCGAUUCACUCUGUCGAGCCCUGAAAAGCCGCAGAGAAAUGGUGGUGGCGACUGUUUACUAAAAACAUAGGUCUGUGCCAAGUCGUAUAGACGACGUAUACGGACUGACGCCUGCCCGGUGCUGGAAGGUUAAAAGGAGGAGUCAGCGCAAGCGAAGCUCCGAAUUGAAGCCCCAGUAAACGGCGGCCGUAACUAUAACGGUCCUAAGGUAGCGAAAUUCCUUGUCGGGUAAGUUCCGACCUGCACGAAUGGCGUAACGAUCUCCACACUGUCUCGGCCAGAGACUCGGUGAAAUUGAAGUCGCGGUGAAAAUGCCGUGUACCCGCAGAAAGACGGAAAGACCCUGUGCACCUUUACUAUAGCUUGACAUUGGGAUUUGAGCCUGCAUGUGUAGCAUAGGUGGGAGGCUGUGAACUCUGUACGCCAGUAUGGAGGGAGCCAUCGUUGAAAUACCACCCUUGUUUGUUCAGGUCCCUAACUCCUUGCCGUGAUCCGGUAGGAGGACAGUGUCUGGUGGGUAGUUUGACUGGGGCGGUCGCCUCCCAAAAUGUAACGGAGGCAUGCAAAGGUUCCC